rnacentral:lncRNA from 1 species
GCUUAACUUUUCUUCUCCCUGCAGGUCCCCCAGCUUCACUAGCAAUGCUUACUGGAGCCUUCCAGAACUCAUUCCCACACCCAGGGCCCCUCAGCUCGAGGUGUGCCAUCUGCCCCCUGGAGGCUGCUCGAACUUAUUACACCUGAGAGCACACUCGAUAGCUUCUUCCUGAAUAUUUCUUCUGACAAAUGACGUUGCUGUCACACCUGGGCCAGAAAUCUGGACACCAGCCCUGCCUUCGCCCCAUCCUAACCCUGCAUAUGCCCUGGCCAGCAUCAGGCUGUUGAUUCUGCAUUCAUAUCUUCUCUGUGUCACAGACCAGAGUCAUUGGCUGCAAGGAACAGAAACUUUCUCAAGGCAGAUGAGGCCAUGAUCACGCUGAGCCAUCCAGUGUCUCUUCCUCACCCAUGCGCAGCACCCAGGUUCCUAGAAGAGAAGCCUCAUCAGUGUUCUCUUAACAAAAGGACCCAAAGAAGAGAAAGAAACCUCCACGGAAGACCCAGGAGAGAUGAGGGUGAUGGAGUAUUUGCCGCAUUUCUUUGGCUUCUGUGGCUGAAGAGCGGAUUCUGGUCUAGAUGGGAUGACAGCUUGAAAUACCAACUGUUAUCUUUAUCUGUUUCAAGAGUAUAGAUUAAGCCUGUGUAGCUUACAGAAAGAAAUUUUGCUUUCAGGUGGCGACCUGAAUACCUAUGUCAGAGCAGCCAUCUUGCCAAUGGCCACCUGAGUAGGGGAUAGGACUGGAUUUGCCCAGAUUUUAUUGGUGAUCAUAAGAUUUUGGAACUAGAAGGAUCAUCAAGCUCGAUGGAUUUUCAAACUGGGCUCCACAGAAUACUAUUGGGCCACAGAGUUCACUCAGGAGUUGCAGAAUCAGGGGGCAGUUGAGGGGGCAGUGAUCGGGCCACUUCAACCAGGCAGUCUACUUUUAUUUACUGUAUAUUUUGAACUGGAGCAAAGUGGAUAAGAUCCCAGAGUUUUAAGACAGAUAACUGGAUGGAUUUAUUAUUCAGCAUUCAUAUGCUUCAAUUUGUAAAAUGGGGAUAACAAUAAUCAUUACUAAAUUUCUUAUAGCAAGGACCAUGUGAUUGGCAUCAUUUUAAGUGCUUUAUAUUAAUUUAAUAUUAAUAAAUCAAUUAUUUACAUUUAUCA